CCUACGGGAGGCAGCAGUGAGGAAUAUUGGUCAAUGGGAGAGAUCCUGAACCAGCCAAGCCGCGUGAGGGAAGACGGCCCUAUUGGUUGUAAACCUCUUUUGUCGGAGAACAAAACCCGGUACGUGUCCCAGACUGCGUGUAUCCGAAGAAAAAGCCUCCGCUAACUCCGUGCCAGCAGCCGCGGUAAUACGGGGGAUGCGUGCGUUAUCCGGAUUUAUUGGGUUUAAAGGGUGCGUAGGCGGUCCGUUAAGUCAGCGGGAAAAUUGCGGGGCUAAACCCCGUCGAGCUGUUGAAACUGGCAGACUUGAGUUGGCGAGAGGUAAGCGGAAUGCGAGGUGUAGCGGUGAAAUGCAGAGAUAUCGCGCAGAACUCCGAUUGCGAAGGCAGCGUACCGGAGCCAGACUGACGCUGAGGCACGAAAGCGUGGGGAUCGAACAGGAUUAGAUACCCGAGUAGUC
rnacentral:rRNA from 1 species